rnacentral:ncRNA from 1 species
GUUCAAAUGAGGAAGGGAUUACGGUGGAUACCUAGGCACCUAGAGAUGAGGAAGGGCAUGGUAAGCGAUGAAAUUCUUCAGGGAGUUGAAAAUGAGCAUAGAUCUGGAGAUUCCCGAAUAGGUUAACCUUUUUAACUGCUAUUGAAUCCAUGGGCAGGCAAGAGACAACCUGGCGAACUGAAACAUCUUAGUAGCCAGAGGAAUAGAAAGUAAAAGCAAUUCCCGUAGUAGCGGCGAGAGAAAUGGGAGCAGCCUAAACCGUGAAAAUGUGGUUGUGGGAGAGCACAAUAUAAGCUCUAUGCUGCUAGGCGAAGUGGUUGAGUCCUGCACCCUAGAUGGUGAGAGUC